rnacentral:rRNA from 1 species
UUUGUGUUCUCGGGUACUGCG